rnacentral:rRNA from 1 species
CGGCAACAGCUCAAAUUUGAAAUCUGGCUCUUUUAGAGUCCGAGUUGUAAUUUGCAGAGGGCGCUUUGGCGUUGGCAGCGGUCCAAGUUCCUUGGAACAGGACGUCAUAGAGGGUGAGAAUCCCGUAUGUGACUGGAUACCUAUGCUCAUGUGAAGCUCUUUCGAC